rnacentral:lncRNA from 1 species
GAGUCAAUAGUGCUGACUUAAUCGAUAAAAACAAUUUUCAGCUGAUAAGGGUACUUGCAACAGAAUUUUCCUUUCUUGUACAUCGCACGGAAUCUUGCAUAACAGACGAAUAUCAUUUCGUGUAAGGUAUUUUGCCAAGGGAUAAAGAGAUGUUCUGAUCCUUCUUUUGGAUGCUUUCAUGUUUAAAUAAUAGACCACGAG